AUGAACGCUGGCGGCGUGCCUAAUACAUGCAAGUCGAGCGAACGGACGAGAAGCUUGCUUCUCUGAUGUUAGCGGCGGACGGGUGAGUAACACGUGGAUAACCUACCUAUAAGACUGGGAUAACUUCGGGAAACCGGAGCUAAUACCGGAUAAUAUUUUGAACCGCAUGGUUCAAAAGUGAAAGACGGUCUUGCUGUCACUUAUAGAUGGAUCCGCGCUGCAUUAGCUAGUUGGUAAGGUAACGGCUUACCAAGGCAACGAUGCAUAGCCGACCUGAGAGGGUGAUCGGCCACACUGGAACUGAGACACGGUCCAGACUCCUACGGGAGGCAGCAGUAGGGAAUCUUCCGCAAUGGGCGAAAGCCUGACGGAGCAACGCCGCGUGAGUGAUGAAGGUCUUCGGAUCGUAAAACUCUGUUAUUAGGGAAGAACAUAUGUGUAAGUAACUGUGCACAUCUUGACGGUACCUAAUCGGAAAGCCACGGCUAACUACGUG
rnacentral:rRNA from 1 species